AUGCACAUCUUGGAGAUCAGCGGAGCUUUCAGCCACAACAUUUCUUUCCUUGGUAGCAGAAAAUACAUCGGCAGAGACUGCAGGAUGAAACUUGCCCCAAAGUUGAGGAAUCGCGCAGCAGAGCCGCCGUGCGUGGGAGAGCCCUGCGGGACGGGGCAGCACCGGCGGGAGCCGCUGGAAAACGGAGCGUCCCUGCCUUGGCAUCUCCCUGCUCGCGGACUCGCAGCGCGGUGGCCGCGGCCGGGCGGGAUGAUGAAUCCAUCGGGGAAGCGCCAGAAGAGGGGAAUAGGGAACGGAAAGCGCGGGUGCAGCACCAGGAUGAGGUUUAACGAUACUGUUUUAAUGGAAGUGGUUCUAGCACAGAGGCAAACCAGGGAACCCCUCGCCGCGGGGAAGCGGCUGGUCGGCUCGAGCGGUGCUGUCAGCAUGUCGCGACAGGGCUGAACGGGUGCCUUUGGGUCUGCCCGGAACGGACAGGCAAUGGGAACUCCAGGGUGAUCCCGAUCCACGUGUCCCUGGCGGCGGCGGCGGCGCAGCGCAGGGACGGGCGGGCGUGAGCGCACACCGGUAACAGGUGCGUGACACGGCGGCGGCCCCGCCCGCCCGGCGCUCCCGGCUGCCGCGCCCGGGGCUGCGGGGAGCGCAGCUGUCGGAGCUCGCCCGGCUGGCUCCGGCCCGCGGCCGCCCUCACGGAGCGAUCCCGGAUCCCGCCUCCCGCCCUGCGCUUCCCGGCCCGCGCCCGCCCUCCCGCGCGUCAAACGCCGGCCGUCACGCGGGCGUUGUAAUGUACCGAAACAGCGCGCAUCACCUCGCUGCGCCCGCCCUGCCGCGAUCGCCCAGCCCCGCUACCGCCCUCGGCACCGGCUCCGUGCCCGCGCUCUCCCCGACCCGCUCGGCGACGGCAGCCACGGCGCUGUCCCAUUCCCGCCGCCGCCACCCGUGGCGUCCGCCUCGGCGCGGGGACGCGGGGCUGGGGCGGCCGAAGCCGGCGGGGGGCCGCAGUCGCGCGUAGCCGAGCGGACAGGAGGGCGGCAGCGCGGGGUUGCGCGCCUAUUAGGAGGUGCGUGGUAGCGAUGGCGGCGGUGGGUGAGCCUUUCCCCGUCAGCGGAUCCGGCUGGCCCUGCCGGCGGGCGGUGGGGCCGCGCCCCGCCCCGCGCCCGCAGCAGCCCGGAGCGGCACCGGGCCGAGCCGGACCGAGCGGCGCCGGGCUGAGCCGAUCC
rnacentral:lncRNA from 1 species